rnacentral:tmRNA from 1 species
GGGCCUGUAUUUGGUUUCGACGGGUUAUAUGAAGUAAGGUAAGCAUGUCGUGGUUGUGCACGUUAAAACACCGAGGUUUAAAAUAACCGGAAACAAACAAAAUUUAGCUUUCGCUGCUUAAUGAAAGCAUCUAAUUAGUUGCCGUCUCUCAGGGCGGCUAUGCGGAUCUCAGAUACUGAGGGUUGAUAUUUAAGAGUGCCUUGGCUUAAAUAUCGAGAUUUAGAGGAUAGGCUUUAUUAGCUUGCUUAUUACAUAAUAAAGUACGAACUAAAGAAAAUAAGAUAAACAUGUAGAAAGCAGUAUGAAUUAUAGUUCGGACAGGGAUUCGACUUCCCUCAGGUCCACCA